GGAAGUCCUUGUCCGGUUGCUUUGUCACCUUCCUCCUCAAUGAUUAUUUAUUUAUUUAAUCAUCCCCCACUGAUCGCUUUAUGCAAUUGCUUUCCAAAAGUUUUCAAGAUUUGUUAUCACCGCAAUUGGCUGAAAAUUGGUUCGAAGGAAAGGAAAAUAAUAGAACAAGAAUCUAUGACACUUGGGCUUUUUUACCGAGUCAAAUUGAAAAGCAAAGCAAGACAAAAAGGAAGUGGCGAGGUAUCUUUCUCAGCUUCUCUAAUGUAAUGAUCUUGUAAGCGAGAGUGGAUUGCGAGGAAACAAUAAAAGUGGAGGAAAUUUAUUAUUAAGUUUGCGGAAAGCAUGUUCGUUACCGCAGCCACACGCCUUCAAUGGCCGAAUCAUAACAACUACUUUUUCAUUUUUUAGUUUUCCAUUGUCCUUAGUCCACGUCCUGUUAGAAUAAAUUAUCCAAGGAAAGUAUAUUUAAUUGAACAGGUUGGUAGCCACAUUACGUGCAGGAAAUGCUUUCUCUUCUUGAAAGUGUCAGGGAAGAUGCAUAUAUAUAAAUUUAGAAUCAUCAAUGAGUGUCUGUAUGCAAAUCAGAUGAUAACAACCAAAUCCGAAUUACUGUACAAUUGAAGAUCCAACAUUACAUACGCGUCAAGAUUGAUUAGCAUGUGAUCCAUCUACUGCAAGAGAUAGUUGGUAAAAUUAUUGCACUAUAUCAUACUGAAAAGUGAG
rnacentral:lncRNA from 1 species